UACGUAGGGGGCAAGCGUUGUCCGGAUUCAUUGGGCGUAAAGAGCGUGUAGGCGGCCAGGUAGGUCGGUUGUGAAAACUGGAGGCUCAACCUUCAGAGGUCGACCGAAACCAUCUGGCUAGAGUCCGGGAGAGGAGAGUGGAAUUCCUGGUGUAGCGGUGAAAUGGGCAGAUAUCAGGAAGAACACUCGUGGCGAAAGCGGCUCUCUGGAACGGUACUGACGCUGAGACGCGAAAGCGUGGGGAGCGAACAGG
rnacentral:rRNA from 1 species